AUUGAACGUUGGCGGCGUGGAUUAGGCAUGCAAGUCGAGCGAGAACCGUAGCAAUACGGGGACAGCGGCGAAAGGGACAGUAAUGUGUAGGUACCUACCUCCGGGUUCGGGAUAGCUGCGGGAAACUGCAGGUAAUACCGAAUAACGUCUCCGGACCAAAGGUGUGAUUCCACCUGGAGAGGGGCCUGCAUCCUAUUAGCUUGUUGGCGGGGUAACGGCCCACCAAGGCGACGAUGGGUAGCGGGUGUGAGAGCACGACCCGCGUCAUUGGGACUGAGACACUGCCCAGGCACCUACGGGUGGCUGCAGUCGUGAAUCUUCGGCAAUGGGCGCAAGCCUGACCGAGCGACGCCGCGUGCGGGAUGAAGGCCUUCGGGUUGUAAACCGCUGUCGUAGAGGAGGAAAUGCAGGGGGGUUCUCCCCUCUGUUUGACCUAUUCUAGGAGGAAGUACGGGCUAAGUUCGUGCCAGCAGCCGCAGUAA
rnacentral:rRNA from 1 species